rnacentral:lncRNA from 1 species
UUAAUAAGACAAAAAUUAAUUAAACUGACAUAUAUCAUCAUAAUAUUCGUACAAUCCAUAAAUCAUUUUCGUACAAAACCAUGAAUAUAUCAAUAAUAUUCGUACAAUCUAAAAACUAACAUAAUAAAGUAAUUAUCAUAAUAUAGGAAAAUUUGAUCUUGAUCUCCCUCCUAACUCAAAAUCCUUGCAAAUCCUUCAACUCUUCUUGAGUAUUAGAUUCCUCAAUCUUUCAGCAGCUCAAGCAGCCCUUUUGUUGGUUGGCUCAAGUACAGGGGUAUAUUUAAAAUCAUCAAUUGCUUCUUUGUAGUAGCCCAGCAUCUCUCUAAUUGUACCUGUAUGGAAGUACGCCUUCAUACUCUUUUUGUCAAGACUUAUUGCUUUUGUACAAUCUGCCUCAGCUUGGAGAUAACUGCCAAGCUUAAGAAACGCUUGAAGGAUACAUGGUCUUUAGCGUGUCAAGCAAAAAGCGAUCACCACCAUACCGAGCUAUCAGGGAAACUCUUAAAUGUUGCUUGACCCUUAAAUGUCAAUUAACAUGUUAUCAAAGCCUCUAGAAAACAAAAAAGUGAAACAAGAAAUUAACAUUAACUGAACAAUUCAAACAUCUCAAACACCCACAAGUUUUAGUGACAAAAUCAAAAUAAUAAAGAAAAUUGAGGUGAGAGUUU